rnacentral:rRNA from 1 species
UACGUAGGGGGCAAGCGUUGUUCGGAUUUACUGGGCGUAAAGGGCGCGUCGGCGGGGAGGCAAGUUAGAUGUGAAAUCCCGGGGCUCAACUCCGGACCCGCAUCUAAUACUGCUUUUCUAGAGGAUGGAUGGAGAAAAGGGAAUUCCACGUGUAGCGGUGAAAUGCGUAGAUAUGUGGAAGAACACCAGUGGCGAAGGCGCUUUUCUAAUUCAUUCCUGACGCUGAAGCGCGAAAGCAAGGGGAGCAAACAGG